rnacentral:rRNA from 1 species
UCGAGAAUUUUUCUCAAUGGGCGAAAGCCUGAAGGAGCGACGCCGCGUGAGGGAUGAAGGGCUUCGGCCUGUAAACCUCUGUCAUUUGCGAACAAACCUUACUCGUGAAUAACGGGUGAGCUGAUAGUAGCGAAAGAGGAAGGGACGGCUAACUCUGUGCCAGCAGCCGCGGUAAUACAGAGGUCCCAAGCGUUGUUCGGAUUCACUGGGCGUAAAGGGUGCGCAGGUGGCCGCGCAAGUUCGAUGUGAAAGCCCCGGGCUUAACCCGGGAAUGGCAUUGAAAACUGCGUGGCUGGAGGAUCGGAGGGGGGACUGGAAUUCUUGGUGUAGCAGUGAAAUGCGUAGAUAUCAAGAGGAACACCAGUGGCGAAGGCGAGUCCCUGGACGAUACCUGACACUGAGGCACGAAAGCCAAGGGAGCAAACAGG